rnacentral:tRNA from 1 species
GGGCGCGUAACUCAGUGGUAGAGUGCCACCUUCACACGGUGGAAGUCGUAGGUUCGAUACCUACCGCGCCCA